UACGCCUGUUACUUCCUGCCUCGUUGGGUGUGUGUCUGUCUUUUUCGAAACCAUCAUAGAGCAUUUUCAUUUAAAGCAAGAUAUUGGACCUGUCUCUCAGCCCAGAGUACCACUGCACCUCACCUGCCUGUCUACCAGCCCAGAUCAGCCCACAGUACCACUGCUGUUCACCUGCCUGUCUACCAGCCCAGAGUCCCACUGCCGUUCACUUGCCUGUCUAUCUGUCCACGAUGAAGCUCAUCUUGACUCUCUCUCUCAUCUGCACUCGCUUCUGCUCAGUUGAGAUGCUGCAGUGUUUCAACUGCACUGAUGCAGCAUGUACAAACUCUUCUUUAGUUACCUGUCCAGCCUUAAACGAAAGAUGUCUCACUGCAACCAGAACCAUAAAAGGUCCCGAUAAUACCACCGUGGUACUCAAAAUGUGUUCACCAUCCUCCAUCUGUGAACUCCUCUUAACACUGAAGUCACAGUGUUCUGGGAACUUGGGCAUCAUAAGGGCUGCCUCUAACCAGCUCUGCUGUAACACCAAUGGUGCAACAAUGAAACUCUGUCUGCCCCCAGUUCACUGGCUAACGGAAGACAAUGUACCUCCUACAGCAGCUUCCAAGGCUUUGUGCAUAACAGCACUGUGGCCUGCCUGGGGGUGGAGGACCAGUGCUUGAGCUUUAGCGGCAAUGUACUUGGCUCAAUCAAUUAUAUGGUGAACGUCCAGGGCUGUACAUCUACCAACGUGUGCAACUAUAUUGAUCAACUGCUGCCCUCACGUUACAUCAACUUUGUGCAAUUCACCUGUAACACAGCCCCUUUACCUGUAAAUGUAACCAAAGCCCAUAACACAGCCUGCUCCAUCAGACUGAGCCUAGUCCCUCUGCUGCUGGGCCUCACCAUCAGCAAACUCAUCUGAUAGGAAAAGAGAUUAACAUAUCGGGACUCAUCUGACAACAUAAUGCAUUGAUUACAAAACAACAGAAUGUACAAUGAUUUUUAUGUAUUGUGAAAUACGUACUAUAAUUGAAAUUCUGUUAUUUAUAUGGAAUUUGCCAGAUGAUGAUGCCCUGUUACAUUAUAUAGUGUGCUUGCUUGAGGAAAUACUUUCUUAUAUAUUACUCUGUAUAUUUGAUAAAGUGUCAUUGCUUGUAAGUUUAAAACAAAUCAUCUCUGUCAAUGCCAAUAAAGUUUCUAUCACUUUA